rnacentral:rRNA from 1 species
UACGUAGGGUGCGAGCGUUGUCCGGAAUUAUUGGGCGUAAAGGGCUCGUAGGCGGUUUGUCGCGUCGGGAGUGAAAUCCACUGGCUUAACUGGUGGCUUGCUUUCGAUACGGGCAGACUGGAGGUAUGCAGGGGAGAACGGAAUUCCUGGUGUAGCGGUGAAAUGCGCAGAUAUCUGGAGGAACACCGAUGGCGAAGGCAGCCCCCUGGGCUAACACUGACGCUGAUGCACGAAAGCGUGGGGAGCAAACAGG